UUGUCUUUUGCGUGGCAGGGAAAAAACGAAUUAUUUGCUUUUAUCUUUAUUACCCUAAAAAAAAUUUAAUACCUAUCAGAGGCUAUUAGUUUAUUGUUGUGGUUUUCCCCGGAUAAAUUAUGAUAUAAUCUACCAUAAUGUGUUUGAGUUUGAAUAACUCAUAAGGAAACAAUGGGAUUCCAAAAUAUUUCCGAGCUCAAGGAGCUCGAAAAUAGCGAGAAGUUUUGGGGCUGGUCCGCAGGGCCAACUGAUGCCCAGAUUUUUUUUCCUGGGGCACGACGGCCCACUCCUGAGUUUUUUUAGAGUGGUCUAUUUUACCCCACAUAUCAAUAUUGGACUAAAAUAUGAUAAAAACAUUAUAGAGCUCAUAACUUGACGAAAAAUAAAAAAAAAAAUUUUUAUAAUUAAUAAAGUAAAGGAUAAAAUUAAUAAAAUAAAGAAAGGAUUUUUUGCUUCAAAAUAUUUUUACUUGCACCAAGAAAUUUAAUGCAUCAUGAAUUAAAUUCAAAAAUUUUCCUGGGGCAAGAAAAGAUUGUUUUGGUCAAGAAAUAAUUUCUUGCGCCAAGUAAUUUUAUUUAGUUUUAAAUAAAUUUUCGUUUUCAAUUCACAAUGCAAAAAAUUUCUUGAGGUAAGUAAAAAGCUUCUUUAGGCAAGUAAAAAUUUUUUGCGUCAAUGAAUUUUUAUUUUCUAUGUAUGCUAUUUUGGCUUUGAAAAGCUCCCAAAAACCAAAAGGGAGUAUAAAAAUGUCAUUUUGAAAUUAGUAACGCUAUAUAAAUAAUAUAGCUAUAUAUUUAGUGACAGAAGAAUUAAAAUAUUAAUUUGUUUAGAGAAAAUAAAUACGAUCGUCUUUUUUUCCGCGUAAUUUAAAUGUUAUUCGAAUGAUAUAGAUAAAUCGAUUCAUCUCAAUGCUUGGCUAUUGCCAAAAGAGUUUAAACUAUGGAAUGGCGUAAAUUCAAGUCAAGACCUUUCUAACGAUACCAAAUUAAAUAACAUUAAUCAAUUAUAUCAUAUAGAUAUACAGGAACAAAAUUUUUCUUAUUCUCUUAAUAAUAUAGAUUAUAUACAAAAAAAAAUAAUUGAAGUAUAAUUUUUGAAUUGUGUUUUAUUAAUCUGAUUAACUACUCAUAUUUUGUCCUUAUCUUGAUCAAAUUAUCAUGGGCUGUCCAUCACUUUCAAUCUUAAAAAUUUUACAACUCAUAGUUGUAUGCUGUAUUUUGGGUCUUGACGUACUAACAAAAAAUUAUUUAAAACCCAAUAACAGCAGUAAUAUUUUAAAUGAAUUAGUUGAACCUCAAAACAAUACAUUGACAAUUCCUUAUUUAAAUAUUAAAAUAAAUGCAGAGUCAAUACCAACACAAUAUAUUGCGACUGGUACAGUUUUCGCAUAUUUAAUUAUUAUAUUUGUAUCACUUAUCAGUGGUACAUUUGCAGCACCUAUUAGUAGAUUCACCAAUGUUACCUUUUGUCUUAUUGGAAGUUUUUUUUUUGUCUUAUCUGGAUCACUACUCAUAAAUGAUUUUCGGGCUAUCACUUUUGAAAAUAUUAAGACAAGUUUUGAAAAAUCAUUACAAGAUGCACGUAGUUUUAAUAUUGCUAAAGGAUCACUAUGCAUUUUAGAAUCAUGUUUACUUCUUCUUGAUGCUCUAUCAAAUUUUCUUCUUUUUUUAUAAUUUCAGUUAUUAUUUAUAACUUUUUAUUUGUACGUUAAAUAAUAAGUACUCAUUAUUUAAUCCUUUAAUUUAAAAAAUUAUUUCAUUUCAUAAUUAAAUUUUUAUUUUAUAAAUUCAAGGAAUUACAAAAAUAUUUAAGUAAAGAAAUUUAAGUUUACAUAACUAAAUAUUUUAAUUAUUUAUUAAAUAAACAUGUCAUUAAGUAUUUUUAUACUUUAGCUGUUGUAAUUAAACAACUAAUUAUCAUAGAAAAUUAAAAAAAAUGUAUACAUUAACUAUUAAAAUAAAAAAUUAACUGCACGUAUUUGCUUACACGGCAAAACAAAAAUAAUGAUUACUUGUAAUCAUAAGAAUAUAAAGAAAUAACGUAAUUGUGGUGAAAAAAAUAUCAGAAAAGUCUUAGUCAACUUUAUUCUUCAGCUCGGUAAGUAAUAACUAUGUCGAUGAGGAAUAAAAUAGAUUGACCAACACAGAAACAUCCUCUGACCACUUGAUCAAUAUUUCGGACAUAUCCAAGCACCAUGAAUGAAACAGUAGUGAAAAGAAUACAUCCUACUACACUGAAAUAAAUGUCCUGGGUUUGAGACUACGAAACAAAUGACGAUCAAUCAUAAUUUAAAAUUACAAUUCAAAUAUUUCCCGCGUUAAUAUUAAAAAAUGGCUGACUGUCAAAACUACGCAUGCGUUGGUUUCAUUGAAGAAAAUUAAAGCGCAUGCGCAGGAACGGUAAUUGUAGAAAAAUGGUGGGGAAGUCACAUUUUUCUCCGGACUCAAUUUGAUGUGAAUGUGAGAAAUAUAAACAUAAAAUUAUAACCUCUAAGUGCCGGUUAGAAAGCUUGUAAAUAAUUAAACAAAAUAAAUAAAU